CCGUCCGUCGCCCAGUGGAGCAGGGCGCCUGCGUCCGAAGCAGGAGGUCGUGGGUUCGAUUCCCGCCGGACGGUCCA
rnacentral:tRNA from 1 species